GACGAACGCUGGCGGCAUGCCUAACACAUGCAAGUCGAACGAGACCUUCGGGUCUAGUGGCGCACGGGUGCGUAACGCGGGGGAAGCUGCACUUAGGUUCGGAAUAACUCCCCGAGAGGGGAGCUAAUACCGGUUAAUGUCAUAGGACAAAAGAUUUAUCGCCUUUGGAUGGGCCCGGGUCGGUUUAGCUGGUUGGUAGUGUACUAGCCUGCCAAGGCGAGGUUGCAUAGCUGGUCGGAUAGGAGGCCUAGCCACGCUGGGACUGCGACCCGGCCCACACUGCUACGCAACGCAGCAGUGUGGAAUAUUGUACAAUGGGCGAAGGCCUGAUCCAGCCAUGCCGCGGAAGUGAUGAAUGCCUUAGGGUUCUAAAGCCCUUUUUCCCGGGAUGAUAAUGACAGUACCGGGUGAAGAAGCUCCGGCUAACUCCGUG
rnacentral:rRNA from 1 species